UACGUAGGGGGCGAGCGUUGUCCGGAUUCAUUGGGCGUAAAGAGCUCGUAGGCGGUUCAUCGCGUCGAAUGUGAAAUCCCGGGGCUCAACUCCGGGCCUGCAUUCGAUACGGGUGGGCUAGAGUUCGGUAGGGGAGACUGGAAUUCCUGGUGUAGCGGUGAAAUGCGCAGAUAUCAGGAGGAACACCGGUGGCGAAGGCGGGUCUCUGGGCCGAUACUGACGCUGAGGAGCGAAAGCGUGGGGAGCGAACAGG
rnacentral:rRNA from 1 species